rnacentral:rRNA from 1 species
AUUGAACGCUGGCGGCAGGCCUAACACAUGCAAGUCGAACGAGUGGCGGACGGGUGAGUAAUGUCUGGGAAACUGCCCGAUGGAGGGGGAUAACUACUGGAAACGGUAGCUAAUACCGCAUACCAUCGGAUGUGCCCAGAUGGGAUUAGCUUGUAGGUGAGGUAACGGCUCACCUAGGCGACGAUCCCUAGCUGGUCUGAGAGUAUGACCAGCCAAACGGGAACUGAGACACGGUCCAGAGUCCUAAGGAAGGCAGCAGGGGGGAAUAUUGCACAAUGGGCGCAAGCCUGAGGCAGCCAUGCCGCGUGUAUGAAGAAGGCCUUCGGGUUGUAAAGUACUGUCAGCGGGGAGGCGUUACCCGCAGAAGAAGCACCGGCUAACUCCGUGCCAGCCGCCGCGGUAAUAC